CUUCGUCUUGUUAUCAUGUAGUGCUCACACUCACGGCCACGGCCAGUCACCGCCGGUUUGCCUGCACACGUUCUGUUUCAAAUGUAAUGCUUCUGCUCGGUCAUACGCCAGGUCGAAAUGCACACAGGUCAAGUCAUACAUGUCAAGGGCCGUCCAAACCGCGGCAACGGCCGCUCCAGCUGUUGUCCCGGCCAACAGCCCGGUCCGCACACAACACACGGCCGCCG
rnacentral:lncRNA from 1 species